rnacentral:rRNA from 1 species
UACGUAGGGUGCGAGCGUUAAUCGGAAUUACUGGGCGUAAAGGGUGCGCGGGCGGCGUCGCAAGUCAGGCGUGAAAUCCCCGGGCUUAACCUGGGAACUGCACUUGAAACUACGAUGCUGGAGUAUGGCAGAGGGAGGUGGAAUUCCACGUGUAGCGGUGAAAUGCGUAGAGAUGUGGAGGAACACCGAUGGCGAAGGCAGCCUCCUGGGCCAAUACUGACGCUCAUGCACGAAAGCGUGGGGAGCAAACAGG